GGCAACAUUUAACAUGGCGUCGUAGCGGCUGGUUAUAUCACGGCAGCCGAACGUGGCAGACCUUCCUUUUUGUAGGUGAAAUUCAAGGGAGGAACUGCAAAUGCUCGCCGCCAUCUUGUACGAACGAUGUGGUCUGGCGAACACCUUGCCAAGGUGACCAUGCAUUACCUUCGAGUGUAUUUAAGUUGCAAGUCGGUAGAUUUGUUCCGCAGUUUCCCGGAUACCAACAUCCUGCUUUGCGAGAACUACUCUACGUUGUUCUGGGGGGCUUAGACGAACCUCUGAAUCCGAUUUUGAAGAAGUCUUGCAUCGAUGGACACUGACAAAAUAUAGGCAGAUUCGUAAUUAUAAUUGGAAUUGGGAAAGAAAAUUGACGGAGGCUCAGUACCAAAAAAAUUAUGGUAGUUGGAAUGAUUAAAAAUCCUUUUUGUGCAAAUUAAUUUUUGAAAUUGUUUACUUCAUUUUCAAAUGGUUCCGUUCACAUUUGUUGUUCAUGUGAGAUGUUAUAUAUACCAGUUACUGCAUUAUAUUUACCACUAUUGCAAGAUGUUUGUUAAGUAAUUACUACUGUUUUGCUUAUCUGGAAUGUUGUGUGGGAGUCCAUCAGGAAUUGCUGGUCUGCAGUAAAUUUGUCAGGCUAGGUGAUGAACAUUAAUGAAUCAGAAAAUGUUUUGCAUGGGUGGUGAAUGUUCCGACAGUUUUAACAGUUGUGAUGUGGUGUAUUUUACUUCCACGCAUCAUGUAGAAGUUGGUGACCUGAUACAAUGAACAUGGAAAAAUCACCUGCGCCUACGUUGACGAUGAUACCUGUACCGGAGUGCUGGAAACUAAAAUUAAAUUUUCUUUACAAUUUGGUUUCAGGCUAUCUUUAUAAUUUUUUAAUAGUUUUGCAUUUAUUGAUGAGUCCGCAAGCUCUUAGCUGAUUUCCUCCUUUAGAUACCGCCUGUCGACGAUUUGGCAGCCUCACACAAUUAAAGAACGUAUGCCAAAAAGCCAAAGUGAGCUCUUCCGAGCAGAAAAGUGACGUCGUAUCCAUUUAAUUGAAAAUAGGCACAAGAUAACGCACAAUUGGCGUGCUUGUCUCAGUGGAGAAAUUUUGCCGUGGAGCUUAUAACCGAAAUACCAUUGCAGCUGUUCAAAAAAAGAAGUGUAUUACCAUACAGGUGUUGACUAGCUAACAAUCCAGGGAUACGUCAACUUGCGAAAUUUCUAGAUGUGUGUGAAGCGCAAUCAGCAUCCUUGUUGAACUGUGAACCCAAAUCAUGUAUUUUCCGAGAAAUAUCUAGGUUUUUGGAUAAAUAA